rnacentral:rRNA from 1 species
GACGAACCGAGCGAACGUUGUUCGGAAUCACUGGGCUUAAAGGGCGCGUAGGCGGGUGCUCAAGUCCGGGGUGAAAUCCCACAGCUCAACUGUGGAAUUGCCUCGGAUACUGGGUGUCUCGAGGGUGGUAGGGGUAUGCGGAACUAUCGGUGGAGCGGUGAAAUGCGUAGAUAUCAUUUGGAACGCCAAUGGUGAAAACAGCUAGCUGGGAGUGUGCCGACACUGAGACACGAAAGCCAGGGGAGCGAACGGG